UACGGGGGGGGCAAGCGUUGUUCGGAAUUACUGGGCGUAAAGGGCGCGUAGGCGGCCCUCUAAGUCAGACGUGAAAUCCCUCGGCUCAACCGGGGAACUGCGUCUGAUACUGGAGGGCUUGAAUCCGGGAGAGGGAUGUGGAAUUCCAGGUGUAGCGGUGAAAUGCGUAGAUAUCUGGAGGAACACCGGUGGCGAAGGCGGCAUCCUGGACCGGUAUUGACGCUGAGGAGCGAAAGCUAGGGGAGCAAACGGG
rnacentral:rRNA from 1 species